UGAGCAAUCUGCCCUUAGCUCUGGGAUAACCCCGGGAAACCGGGGCUAAUACCGGAUACGAGUCCGAGCGGCAUCACACGGACUGGAAAGUUUUUCGGCUAAGGAUGGGCUCGCGGCCUAUCAGCUUGUUGGUGGGGGUAAUGGCCCACCAAGGCGACGACGGGUAGCCGGCCUGAGAGGGCGACCGGCCACACUGGGACUGAGACACGGCCCAGACUCCUACGGGAGCA
rnacentral:rRNA from 1 species